GCACUGCGCAUGCGGGAAGAUGGCGGGCCGGGCGACUUGAGAUCCGUGGGUCUCCCUCCUCCUUUUCCGUCUGCGUCUGGAGCUCUCGGGCACGUGAGGCCGUGCCGCGUUUACUGGCGGGCGGGACGGCCUAGCCGGGCGGCGCCUCGGAGGAGGCCGCGGACCCCUUAGGUGCUGGGCCCUUGGAAAUCGGCGCGUGGGGGGCGGUGCUCGAGCUGAGUGCGAGAGGGCGGGAGAGCUCGUGGGGUGCGAGGGGAGCAGGACGCCCGGCCGGGCAGCAUGAGUCAGCAGCGGCCGGCGAGGAAGUUACCCAGUCUCCUCCUGGACCCGACGGAGGAGACGGUUCGCCGUCGGUGCCGAGACCCUAUCAACGUGGAGGGCCUGCUGCCAUCAAAAAUAAGGAUUAAUUUAGAAGAUAAUGUACAAUAUGUGUCCAUGAGAAAAGCUCUAAAAGUGAAGAGACCUCGUUUUGAUGUAUCACUGGUUUAUUUAACUCGAAAAUUUAUGGAUCUUGUCAGAUCUGCUCCCGGGGGUAUUCUUGACUUAAACAAGGUUGCAAUGAAACUGGGAGUCCGAAAGCGGAGAGUGUAUGACAUCACCAAUGUCUUAGAUGGAAUCGACCUCGUUGAAAAGAAAUCCAAGAACCAUAUUAGAUGGAUAGGAUCUGAUCUUAGCAAUUUUGGAGCAGUUCCCCAACAAAAGAAGCUACAGGAGGAGCUUUCUGACUUAUCAGCAAUGGAAGAUGCUUUGGAUGAGUUAAUUAAGGAUUGUGCUCAGCAGCUGUUUGAGUUAACAGAUGACAAAGAAAAUGAAAGACUAGCAUAUGUGACCUAUCAAGACAUUCAUAGCAUUCAGGCCUUCCAUGAACAGAUCGUCAUUGCAGUUAAAGCUCCAGCAGAAACCAGAUUGGAUGUUCCAGCUCCCAGAGAAGACUCUAUCACAGUGCACAUAAGGAGCACCAACGGACCUAUCGAUGUCUAUUUGUGUGAAGUGGAGCAGGGUCAGACCAGUAACAAAAGGUCUGAAGGUGUCGGAACCUCUUCAUCUGAGAGCACUCAUCCAGAAGGCCCUGAGGAAGGUUCUUGUAUCGGUUUGAACCCCGAGAGCGCACCAACAGACAACACAAGGCAGUGUGGAGCAACACGCUGUUUUAAUGAGUGCCUGGGUGCAGGCGGGAUGAGGCCUAAAAUGGCGUCAGCCCCAAGUGAUUACCGGACCGGAGUUUUAUAGUCCUCUCUAAACAGGAAGUGUCCCAGUCUGACGUGACUGCUACGUAGUACCCGGAUGGCCUCUUUCUCCAUCUUCAGGGGUACAUGUCUUCCGGCCAGGGCAACCAUUCUACCAACGGAGAUAAUAUUGCCAGAGAAGACAUUUUACCAGGGCAGGAGAAACAUCAUCUUACGUCCCUUGCCCUCCAUUUCUCUUCAUAUUUGUGUACCUGUUUGUAACUGAAUGUGGUAAUAGAAAAUAGAAAAGACAUGAUGACUGGUGGCUGCUGAGUAAGCCUUCAGACACCCUUCCUUAAAUGCAUGAGGAUCUGCACUGGAUUCUGCCCAAGGGCAGGUCGGGGGCAAAAGCAGAUGAGUUGGCAAAAGACCAUAUGGAGACAAGACACCAACACUGGGGACAGGCUCAUGCCGGUUUGGAAUCCAGCCUUUGAACUGAUUUCUGAUUUUGCAAAAUUAUUUUCUACACCAGCUAUUUCUUAAAUGACUUCUGGUUGACUUGGGUGGUAACAUUAAGAUAAAAAUGUGUUGGCAGUGAAAAAAACAAACCAGACUUAAAAGAAAUAUUGAAGCUGGGCGCGGGGGCUCACGCCUGUAAUACCAGCACUUCGGGUGGCUGAGGUGGGAGGAUCACUUGAGCCCAGAAGAUCAAGGCUGCAAUGCAGUGAGCUAUAAUCGCACCACUGCACUCCAGCCUGGGUGACAGAGAGAGACCGUGUCUCAAAAAAAAACAAACAAAUAUUGAAAUGUUGCUUAGUUAAAAGCCUUUUACAAUUUGUUUCCACCUAACAUGUGGUUACUUAUUCGAUCACAUAAUCUGGUGAAGGAGCGUAAAGACCAUGACACUGACUCGCUAUUUACAACAAGGCAACAUAUUGCUUAGUGCUCAUCAGCUUUCUAAAGAAGCUGAACAUCAUGUCCAGUACUUUGCAAAAUUCUUUCAGAUCCUCUGACAGCUUUAGUAAAAAAUGUCAUCACAAGCCAACUCAGUUGUCUACAAACAGGCUCUCAUUUUACAUUUAACUUUGAAAGUAUAUUUACAAUCCUUUGAAAAUAUAUUUACAACAAUUUAGAAUCAUUCUUCUCAAUUUCAUUGCCUCUCAGCUGCACAGCUGGAUUUUAGUUGGUGCAAAAGGAAAAACCGGGUUGUAGGUAAACAUUAUAUCAUGUUUGGGGAGUGGUUUAUAGAAAUUUCAAGCCUCUUGUACUUUCAUGAAUUUUCUAACACUUUAUUAUUGUUAUAAUUAUCUACUCAUAAUAAUGACUGCCAUUUAUUGAGCCCAUACCAGGUGGCGGCCCCUGGACUAGGAGAAACAGUUAAUAUUUGUGUUACCUUGUCAGAUAAGUGUCGUUGCUGAGGCUCGGGAGGAUGAGGGCAUGCUUGCCCAAAACUCCACAACUGGGAAAUACUAGAGCCAGGAUUCGGACCCCAGACAGUACGGUUCACAAGCCAUAUUCCCUUUAAAAAUGAAAGUGACCCCUUGUCAGGCUAUGGAAUUUGAGGUGUGGAAUUCUUUCAGCUCGUGCUGUAGUUACUAGAGAUGGUAUUAAUUGUCAGACAGCUCUUCAGCAGUUGGGGCAAACAGGCAAACAUUAACUAUCAAAUCAUGAUGACCAUACCACCUGGAUUAGUUUGUCCUUGUUGCAUUGCUAUAAGGAACGACCUGAGGCUGGGUAAUUUAUAAAGAAAAGAGGUUUAGUUGGCUCACCGUUCCACAGGCUGUUCAGGAAGCAUGGCUGGGGAGACCUCAGGAAACUUACAAUCAUGGCAGAAUGAGAAGAUGGAGGCACAUUUUACAUGGCUGGAGCAAGAGGAAGAGAGCGAAGGAGGCAGUACACACUUGUAAACAACCAGAUCUCGUAAGCACUCACUUACUAUCAUGAGAACAGCAAGGGGAAAAUCUGCCCCCACGAUCCCAUCACCUCCCACCAGGCCCCACUUCCAACACUGGGGAUUACAGUUCGACACGAGAUUUGGGCAGGGACACAAAUCCAAACCAUAUCACUACCUAAGCCCAUUCCUCCUACUACUGACCACUUCUUUCUUCCCUUGACCAGUGUGCAUGGGUAGGAAUACAUACUGUAUGACGCUGCUCGGUGAGAAGAAGCAAUCUCACUAAACCCCUGGACUGCUUUCUGGAUUUGGUUUUUUGUACUUCACUACUAAGGUUAUUUUCGUUGGUCAGUGAACCUCUGGAACGGUAGUUCGAACAGCUUGUAAUACAUGUCUCAUGAAAGUUACAUGGAUGUGUAUGUAUAUACAUGUAUGCUGGAAUAACUUUAAAUCUUGAUUUCAGAAAUCUGGAAUAUUUAUGCUUAUACUCAAGUAGGGAAUUUGAUUUGAGGUUAUUUAAGUAGAGUUACCAAAAAUAAUCCAUUGCAGCAAAUUUAGAAAGUUAUCAUUAAUGCUCAAAAUAUGGCAUUUUCUACUUAUUUUCACUUCACAAUGUAUCAAAUAGGAUUUCCAACAUCUUAUGAAAAGAUAAAGUAUUUUCUCAAAGAGUUAAGAAAACUGGGGCAAAGGGUAAAUAAGGGUAGAAAAAGAAUAUGAAACCAGGGGAGAGGCUAGUACACAGAAUACAUGCUGUACAGCAUGUGUCAUUGAUUGCAUCUCAUUUUAAAAAUAAAACGGCACAUCCCACUUUCCUAAAAAUGUGGCUUCUUGAUCAGGAAUCUCUAUCUCUGUUACAGCAGUGGGACUUCUUGUCCUUUUUAAUACUUUGUUCUUUCCUCCCUGCCUUAGGAAAUAUUCCAUUUGAUUCUGUCCUUGUUUUUUUUUUUUUUUCUAAUAGGCAACCUUCCACAGCAGCAGUCUGAGACAAUGAAAAAUCACUUGAGCUUUUUAAAACAAAUGAUUGUGAGGAGCAUUUGAGGAUUCAUUUGUCGAGUUAGUUGGAAUGUCUUAUGUGGGCAAGCUCAUGUUUCCAAUUUGGGACUUGGAGCAGGCAAUCAGCUGUGUCGCAUUCUCAUAUCCGCUUGACGUCAGCCCUGAGAGCUGCGGUAUCUUUAGUAGCUCACUGUGUAUGGUGAUAGCAAGUGUGUGAGUUGUCCUCACGGAAAACAGCUCACUUGAUAGUUUAUGAAGCUGCAACUUGGCAGUGCUAUCCAAGACCUUUCUUCCAGAAAUUGCUGUUGCCACUACCACACAGUGGACAAAUCUGAAAGGGAGAAUUUAGUUUUUCCACGGACUCUCCUUUUCCUUUGAAGAUUUUUUGUACACCCUGUACAUAAAACCAUGGCUUACAAAGUAAAAACAUUGAUCGCUUUCUUUUUUCUUUUCUGUUUUUUGAG